UACGAGGGGGGCAAGCGUUGUUCGGAAUUAUUGGGCGUAAAGGGUGCGUAGGCGGUCUGACAAGUCUGAUGUGAAAUCUAUGGGCUCAACCCAUAGCCUGCAUCGGAAACUGUCGGGCUUGAGUAUGGGAGAGGUGAGUGGAAUUUCCGGUGUAGCGGUGAAAUGCGUAGAUAUCGGAAGGAACACCUGUGGCGAAAGCGGCUCACUGGACCAUUACUGACGCUGAGGCACGAAAGCUAGGGGAGACGAAACAGGAGUUAGAAUGACCCGAGUAGUCCC
rnacentral:rRNA from 1 species